GGGUUGUGAGGUUAAGCGACUAAGCGUACACGGUGGAUGCCCUGGCAGUCAGAGGCGAUGAAGGACGUGCUAAUCUGCGAUAAGCGUCGGUAAGGUGAUAUGAACCGUUAUAACCGGCGAUUUCCGAAUGGGGAAACCCAGUGUGUUUCGACACACUAUCAUUAACUGAAUCCAUAGGUUAAUGAGGCGAACCGGGGGAACUGAAACAUCUAAGUACCCCGAGGAAAAGAAAUCAACCGAGAUUCCCCCAGUAGCGGCGAGCGAACGGGGAGGAGCCCAGAGCCUGAAUCAGUGUGUGUGUUAGUGGAAGCGUCUGGAAAGGCGCGCGAUACAGGGUGACAGCCCCGUACACAAAAAUGCACAUGCUGUGAGCUCGAUGAGUAGGGCGGGACACGUGGUAUCCUGUCUGAAUAUGGGGGGACCAUCCUCCAAGGCUAAAUACUCCUGACUGACCGAUAGUGAACCAGUACCGUGAGGGAAAGGCGAAAAGAACCCCGGCGAGGGGAGUGAAAAAGAACCUGAAACCGUGUACGUACAAGCAGUGGGAGCCUCUUUUAUGG
rnacentral:rRNA from 1 species